rfam:Dipodomys ordii contig_81520, whole genome shotgun sequence.
GGGAAUGUGGCUUAGUGGUAGAGUGCUUGCUUAGCAUGCAUGAAGCCCUGGGUUCAAUUCCUCAGUACCA